AUACGUAGGGAGCGAGCGUUGUCCGGAAUUACUGGGCGUAAAGGGCGCGUAGGCGGCGCUUCAAGUCGUCUGUCAAAUGGGAGGGCUUAACCCUUUUUCGCAGACGAAACUGGAGAGCUUGAGAAGCAGAGAGGCAAACAGAAUUCCUGGUGUAGCGGUGAAAUGCGUAGAUAUCAGGAAGAAUACCAGUGGCGAAGGCGGGUUGCUGGCUGCAUACUGACGCUGAGGCGCGAAAGCCUGGGGAGCUAACGGAAUGAGAUACCCCGGUAGUCCUGGCAGUAAACGAUGUAUGCUGGGUGUGAGACUAGCGAUAGUUUCGUGCCGAAGUUAACGCGAUAAGCAUACCGCCUGGGGAGUACGGUCGCAAGAUUGAAACUCAAAGGAAUUGACGGGG
rnacentral:rRNA from 1 species